UACGAAGGGGGCUAGCGUUGUUCGGAUUUACUGGGCGUAAAGCGCACGUAGGCGGAUCUUUAAGUCAGAGGUGAAAUCCCAAGGCUCAACCUUGGAACUGCCUUUGAUACUGGGGAUCUUGAGUCCGGGAGAGGUGAGUGGAACUGCGAGUGUAGAGGUGAAAUUCGUAGAUAUUCGCAAGAACACCAGUGGCGAAGGCGGCUCACUGGCCCGGUACUGACGCUGAGGCACGAAAGUGUGGGGAUCAAACAGG
rnacentral:rRNA from 1 species